CGUACACUCCUGCGGGAGGCAGCAGUGGGGAAUAUUGGACAAUGGGCGCAAGCCUGAUCCAGCCAUGCCGCGUGAGUGAUGAAGGCCCUAGGGUUGUAAAGCUCUUUCACCGGUGAAGAUAAUGACGGUAACCGGAGAAGAAGCCCCGGCUAACUUCGUGCCAGCAGCCGCGGUAAUACGAAGGGGGCUAGCGUUGUUCGGAUUUACUGGGCGUAAAGCGCACGUAGGCGGACUAUUAAGUCAGGGGUGAAAUCCCGGGGCUCAACCCCGGAACUGCCUUUGAUACUGGUAGUCUUGAGUUCGAGAGAGGUGAGUGGAAUUCCGAGUGUAGAGGUGAAAUUCGUAGAUAUUCGGAGGAACACCAGUGGCGAAGGCGGCUCACUGGCUCGAUACUGACGCUGAGGUGCGAAAGCGUGGGGAGCAAACAGGAUUAGAAACCCUGGUAGUCCC
rnacentral:rRNA from 1 species